rnacentral:rRNA from 1 species
UACGAAGGGGGCUAGCGUUGCUCGGAAUCACUGGGCGUAAAGGGUGCGUAGGCGGGUUUUAAGUCAGAGGUGAAAUCCUGGAGCUCAACUCCAGAACUGCCUUUGAUACUGAAAGUCUUGAGUAUGGGAGAGGUGAGUGGAACUGCGAGUGUAGAGGUGAAAUUCGUAGAUAUUCGCAAGAACACCAGUGGCGAAGGCGGCUCACUGGCCCGGUACCGACGCUGAGGUGCGAAAGCGUGGGGAGCAAACAGG